rnacentral:rRNA from 1 species
AAACCUACGGGGCGCAGCAGUGGGGAAUAUUGCGCAAUGGGCGAAAGCCUGACGCAGCGACGCCGCGUGAGGGAUGAAGGUCUUCGGAUCGUAAAGCUCUGUCCUUGAGGAAGAAGGAAGUGACGGUACUCAAGGAGGAAGCCCCGGCUAACUACGUGCCGGCAGCCGCGGUAAUACGUAGGGGGCAAGCGUUAUCCGGAAUUAUUGGGCGUAAAGAGUACGUAGGUGGUUUUGUAAGCGCGGGGUGAAAGGCAGUGGCUUAACCAUUGUAAGCCUUGCGAACUGCAAGACUUGAGUGCAGGAGG